rnacentral:rRNA from 1 species
UACGGAGGGGACUAGCGUUGUUCGGAAUUACUGGGCGUAAAGCGCACGUAGGCGGAUUUGUAAGUCAGGGGUGAAAUCCCGGGGCUCAACCUCGGAACUGCCUUUGAUACUGCAAAUCUCGAGUCCGGAAGAGGUGAGUGGAAUUCCUAGUGUAGAGGUGAAAUUCGUAGAUAUUAGGAAGAACACCAGUGGCGAAGGCGGCUCACUGGUCCGGUACUGACGCUGAGGUGCGAAAGCGUGGGAGCAACAGGG